UUAAAGGUUUAUACACCCUGCACAGAGAUAACACCAAGCUAGAGAUAAAUAUUAACUAGCGAGUAAUCUUUACUGAUUAGAAUCUGACCAUCCCUCCAGAAAUCCCCUUUUGAGUGCCAGGUUAUAUAAUGCGGGGGACAUUUUUUUAAAGUCAUGCCCGCCUGCCAAAUAUGCAAGAUUUUCUUGAUCUUUCUGUCCAGAUAAGCAGUAUAUUCCCAGCACACUUAUGGUGUUUUUGAGAUCAAAUGGGCAUUGACAGUUUACCACGGUCUAUGGGAUGUUCGGUCGAUAAAAACGCGCUUAAUGUUUGAUCUUCUUCCUGUUUUGAAUCGGUUUUUUAUGUUUGUGCACUGAAGCUUUUUAUAAAGAACCUAUUCUACUGCAAGGACAAAGCACAUGAUGGAAACUCCCUAACGUUAAUUUGUUUAUGGUUGGGCAUGGAUGAUUUUUAAAAUCACUAACAGUUUUAUUUGUUGGCAGAGAGAAGUUAACCUGAUGACUCCAUCCAUCUGGGAGAGUUUCUCAGCCAUGGCAGGGUGAUCAGGGCCAAAUCUGUGCCCACAGUGAUCCACACCCAGGAAGUGAGCGAUCAACACAUCCCAGUCAUCCCCCUCCACUGUGGACAGCAAACAAGAAGCGUUACACCCACUCAUUCAGAUGCCGUGUUUACAGGAUAAACUUAAGAAACGUAAACAGCAGCAUAAACACUGUGAGGAAACUAAGGCGACAUCUGUCUGAGAUCCUAUUAAAGCUUCAAUGCUCCUCUACACUCGCUGACAUGCAGCGGAAUCGCAU